CCUACGGGAGGCAGCAGUGAGGAAUAUUGGUCAAUGGCCGAGAGGCUGAACCAGCCAAGUCGCGUGAGGGCAGAAUGUCCUAUGGAUUGUAAACCUCUUUUGUCAGGGAGCAAAGUCACCCACGUGUGGGUGUUGGAGAGUACCUUAAGAAAAAGCAUCGGCUAACUCCGUGCAAGCAGCCGCGGUAAUACGGAGGAUGCUAGCGUUCUCCGGAUUUAUUGUGUUUAAAGGGUGCGUAGGCGGGUUAUCAAGUCAGCGGUAAAAUCGUGGAGCUCAACUCCAUCCAGCCGUUGAAACUGAUGGUCUUGAGUGGGCGUGAAGGAGGCGGAAUGCGUGGUGUAGCGGUGAAAUGCAUAGAUAUCACGAAGAACUCCGAUUGCGAAGGCAGCAUACCGGCGCGCGACUGACGCUGAAGCACGAAAGCGUGGGUAUCGAACAGGAUUAGAUACCCCUGUAGUC
rnacentral:rRNA from 1 species